rnacentral:tRNA from 1 species
AAGGGCUUAGGUUCAAUAUAGACCGAAGGCCUUCAAAGCCUUAAGCAGAUGUUAAAUCAUCUAGCCUUUG